rnacentral:rRNA from 1 species
GGUGGAGUACCAUCGCAAGUUUAACGGCAGCACGGGAGCUUGCUCCUGGUGGCGAGUGGCGAACGGGUGAGUAAUGCGUCGGAACGUGCCGAGUAAUGGGGGAUAACGCAGCGAAAGUUGUGCUAAUACCGCAUACGCCCUGAGGGGGAAAGUGGGGGAUCGCAAGACCUCACGUUAUUCGAGCGGCCGACGUCUGAUUAGCUAGUUGGUGGGGUAAAGGCCUACCAAGGCGACGAUCAGUAGCGGGUCUGAGAGGAUGAUCCGCCACACUGGGACUGAGACACGGCCCAGACUCCUACGGGAGGCAGCAGUGGGGAAUUUUGGACAAUGGGGGCAACCCUGAUCCAGCCAUUCCGCGUGAGUGAAGAAGGCCUUCGGGUUGUAAAGCUCUUUCAGCUGGAGUGAAACGGUGCGCUCUAACAUAGCGCGCUAAUGACGGUACCAGCAGAAGAAGCACCGGCUAACUACGUGCCAGCAGCCGCGGUAAUACGUAGGGUGCGAGCGUUAAUCGGAAUUACUGGGCGUAAAGCGUGCGCAGGCGGAUUGUUCAGCAAGAUGUGAAAUCCCCGGGCUUAACCUGGGAAUGGCAUUUUGAACUGGCAGUCUAGAGUGCGUCAGAGGGGGGUUGGUAUUCCACGUGUAGCAGUGAAAUGCGUAGAGAUGUGGAGGAACACCGAUGGCGAAGGCAGCCCCCUGGGAUGACACUGACGCUCAUGUACGAAAGCGUGGGUAGCAAACAGGAUUAGAUACCCUGGUUAGUCCACGCCCUAAACGAUGUCAACUGGUUGUUGGGGGAGUGAAAUCCCUUAGUAACGAAGCUAUACGCGUGAAGUUGACCGCCUGGGAGUACGGUCGCAAGAUUAAUACUCAAAGGAAUGGACGGGACCCGCACAAGCGGUGGAUGGUGUGGGAUUAAUGCGAGGCAACGCGAAAACCUUACGGACCGUUGACAUGUCCAGAACCUGAAGAGAUGGGGNCNCUACGACGGAGUGAACACGGUNCGCUGAAGCGCGCCUCAGCGGGUGUUCCCC